GACAGAGGUGCCGAGCGUUAGGCGGAAUCACUGGGCUUAAAGCGUGUGUAGGCGGAUCUGUAAGUACCUUGUGAAAUCCCACGGCUCAACCGUGGAACUGCUUGGUAUACUGCGGGUCUUGAGCCACCUAGGGGCAAGUGGAACAAACGGUGGAGCGGUGAAAUGCGUAGAUAUCGUUUGGAACGCCAAUGGUGAAAACGACUUGCUGGGGGUGUGCUGACGCUGAGACACGAAAGCCAGGGGAGCAAACGGG
rnacentral:rRNA from 1 species